rnacentral:lncRNA from 1 species
UCAUGCUCAGUGUGCUAUCCAAACGUUAUCUUAUUUUCUAACAUUUGGACACUAAAAAAUAGGAAACAUUUUACAAGUCAAAUAUUAUUUUCAUAUUUCAUAGCAAACACAUGGGAACAGUGGGAGAAAAAUCCAGGCUGCACAGCAAAUUGAAGUGCCACGAUUCAAAGACUCAACUCCAAGACUGGAACCGUUGGGUAAAGAUGUCAAACUAAUUCCCAAGAGCCGGGCUGGAAGAGGAUAGAUCACACUGGAAGAGGAUAGAUCACACUGGAACACUGCCACUGGGACAAGAACACGUGAGAUGUGUGUGGACAACCCCUCAAAAGAGAACUGGUCUUCCAUUAGCACAGCAUGGUCAUGUUGCUGGACCUUGUCUGAAUUUUGACUCUGACUCUUCAUCUGGCUCCACGUGCAAGAAAGCUGGACUUCUAUUCUGAAUGCAACUAACUUCCAAGCAAGCUCUGGGAGAAACAACCACAUGAAUUAUGUUAGCUGCCUAACUUGGGUGAUCAAAUCAGCUUUAGGCUCACUCUAGAAAGAAAGAGGACAUUUCUUCCAGCAGGUGAUUUGAAGCAUGGCCUGAAUCAGUUCCUCUCACCACAACCCAUGCAGGGAGCUCACCCUCCAAGUGUGAUCAUCCACCUUCGAUGACUCAGGUACUGCGAGUUUCUCCCCUACCAGGGCAGGCAGGCAGUGAUUCAUCUGCACAGCUCUGAACAGAUCAGCUGAGGACUUCAAGAUGAAAAUUUCCAUGUGCGGGGCCCAGCUGAUUUGCUUGCAAUGACCACUGUGCUUAUAAAAACCGACAAAAACAGAAUCCCUUGUUGCUUUUUUGAGAGCCCAGCGAAAGCUAUAAGUCUCCACCCUGAAGACACGUGAAACACCAGCUGAGUUCCCCAGAGAGAGAGAAAAAUGGUGGGACCAUGUCCAGGCUGAAGCACAUUUUGGGUUUUUUUCCAUUCUCAGCUGAGUGGCAACACAUUUGAAAAAGUAGCUUGAACAAGUCGUUAUUCUGGGAUCCAGCAAGAACCACACACAUACCUCAUUUUAGUUCCACUCCCAAAGCAAGCUCUUGUAUUAUGAAAUCUAACCACAAUUACGUUUUCAUAAAUACUGCAGUGUCAAUAUCCCAGUGAGUCCCGAGUCCGAGUUAAAAGAAAAAAUAAAAAGGAAUAUUUACAACUAGUCUUACUCA